rnacentral:lncRNA from 1 species
CUGCAGGCCAAUGCCACACUAGCAGCAAGUGUAUUUUCUGUCUUUUAAAGGCUUGAACAGUCUCUCAAGGAUUUAUGCAUAAAUCUGCGAACUUGGCCAGGAGUGGAAGAACUUGGCCAGGUAUAUUGCAUGCAUGUCUUAACUAAAAACAGACAGAUGUUGGCAGAUUCACUCUUGACUAAUUCCAAGCAAGAAGUCAGCCAACGUUAACUCUGGGGUGCACGCUCCCCACACUUCUUCCUUCCUUCCUUCCUUCCUUCCUUCCUUCCUUCCUUUCU